rnacentral:lncRNA from 1 species
GAGAAGAGCUAGGAGAGACCAGCGGGCGGUAGCUGCGGCGAGUGGCCUCUCCGUGCGGCACAGAGGCAAGAAGCAGCCAUCCAUCCAGAAGCAGCCUCCGUGUUCCGUUUGUCCGGAUGUCAUCGUAGGUGGCCGGCAUCUCUGGCUUUGGGCUUCUCCCCUGGGGGCGGGUGGGUGCUCCACCCUCCCGCCCACUCUCUGAGGACAUGAGGAACAUGGUAUCCAGCACCACGGACAGCUCCCAGCGGUGAGUGAGCCUGCUGACCCCUGUAGGAAAAUGGUGGUUUUGUCUAUUCCAGGCAGACAUCCUGCACUACAUUCCAGAUCUGAUGAGGCAUGGCUGCCCCAGGAUUACUGGGCUCGGACGGGAGCAGUGGUAGGAAGGAUCCUAUAUAAGUCAUGUGAGACAUAGAAUGUUCAGAUCAACUGAAGCUGAAACAAGCCUUUGGCAUCAUAUAUAACCCAGAAAGGGACAAAGCUGGUGAGUGAACUCCUGAAUCCAGCCUAGCCUUUUCUGCACUGAUUCCCCUUUAUGAACCUCCUUGCCCAAUUCUGGCAGGAGAUUUACAUGAGAUGUUACACACAAAAGGGCAGGAUACAUGUCUGGGAAUGUGAAGUAUCCCUAAGAACCAGGGAAAGGUGGAACUGACUGCUCUCACCGUCUGAGAAGGCUUUGAAGGGAAAGUCCUGAAGAAGGCAUGGGGAAGGCUUACCUAGCAAAAAGGCAAGGGAGCCACCAUCUGCCAGGGUAUAGAGGCCAGUGGAUGGCCCCAGGAGUCUCUGGAGGCCAGCAGGAGGCAUGCAGACUGGACUGGGGCCUGGGAAAGGCCCUUCUGUGUGCCCACGCUUGCUCCCCCUACACCAUGAGUCUAGAGACAAAGGGACCACUCUCUCACAUUUGACACUGCCAUCUCCGGCUGGCAGUGCCAGGUGGCAGGGGCAUCAGGGGUGUCAAUCCAUUAUCCACUCCCAGCCCCUAAGUCCUCUGGGGCUGAAUGUUGGGGAGGUGGGUGUUCUACGCUAUGUUGCCAUAGCAACCACCCCAACCCCCAACCCCAAAGCACACAAAAAGAUAGCUCUCACCCCCACCUCUAGGAGAAACCUGGGUCUGCCUGGGAAUCUUCCCUUGAGAAUCCUCCUCUCUAAUGCACAGCCAUGCCAUUCUUGUGUCUGCACCAUCCUCAGUACCCGGCGCCAAAGACCCAUAGGGCAGUGAGACUGGUACGUUCAGUAUUCAGGCAUGUAGAGGGGGCAUCCAUCCCUUCUAGUUAACCCCUCUCUCCUCAAGCACUCACGUCCUUCACUACAGCCAACGCCAUCCUAGGACUCCCCAACUGAAGCAGUGGGCUAUGUUGGGACCCCGGCCUUCUGCUUUUUCCCAGAAAUAGACACCUGCUACCUUUAGCAAACCUCCAGGCUGUGGGAACUGCAAGGAGGAGGGAGCCAUUCCUGACACCCUCCAUCUGUACCCUCGCCAUUACUCAUUAGGCAUUCUGCCCCCUCCUUCCGCUCGUUAAGCCUUAUUUGCAUAUAUUUGCAUAAUACAGUUCAUUUGCAUUGCAGGAGGCUCAUGGUAGAAGCCAGGAAAAAAAAGAGGUGGGGGGGUGGAGAAGAGAAAAAGGGAGAGAUUUUGUUUUCAUCAAAGUGUGGGGGGAGAGCUGGGGGGGAGGCAGGAAGAGGAUGGAAAUAAAACUCAUACUACUUUCUUUCUUCCCUCCGCCCUCUCUCCCCGAGUUGGACUGAAAUGCCAAAGAGAGGUGCCAAGGGUCUGCCUUUUCUGUCCUUUUUUUUGUCUUGCUUCCUCCGGCCUUGGCUCUUCAGUCAGGGGGCCCCCCACCUUGUUGGAAUCAGGCUUCAGAAAGAAAGCUGGGUAGGAUGUGAGGCUGUGAGAAUGGAAACAUAGGAAGGGAAGAGGGAAGCCGCCAUCUUAGGUAGCUAGUGUUUAUAAAAUGGCCGCUUCUGAGAGAUGUGGGCUGAGUGCCAGGCAGGGUGGUGGGCACGAAGGAGAAUGACAACAGAAGGAAGGGUUUCCCAGCUGACCAAGAACAGACCUGAAUAUCACUAUCAGUGGGAUUAGAAAGGGAGGCGGAUGGGGGGGGGUCUCCCAGAAGAGUUCUAGGGUUCAGCAUCUAAGCAGGGUAGUAGAAGCCUCAUCCCUGUGUACAGAUCCCAGAGGACUCAAGGCUAUGGGUGAUGUCGAAGGUGCGGAAGAAUCAAGUUGGAAAGACCAGCAGGAGACAGACAGAGUAAGGUAUGGUCAGGCGGGAUCAUCUGCCAGCUGGAGGUCUCAGGACUGUGGAAAACCAUGUAUUCUAGCAGUAUAUUCUCUGGCCCAGCCGACCAUUACUAUCUUCAUAACGCUUAUGAAACUGUGCCUUCUCUAAGGCCAUUCACAGCUCUCGACUGGGCUAUCCUUCUUUGCCCUCUGUGCAUAAUUUCAUGCUUAUUUGAUCUCCCCAACCUCUGCACUGACCUGGCUUCUUGUGUUAUAUCCUAAACAACUUGUUCUUGGUUUCAUCCACUCAGUUCUCUGGAUCAGCCAGCUUCACACAGAAGUGACAGCACUUCUGAAAUCCCCUCUUAGUCACUUUUGUAACUUCAACCUCUGCUAAAGGUAGACACUCACUCUAUAGACCAGGCCUUGAGCUCAAAGAUCCACCUGCCUCUGCCCCCUGGCCCCCUCCACCUCCCCACGAGUGCUGGGACUAAAGGUGUGAACCACCACCACCACCACCACCACCACCCAGCUCCCUUGUUUUCUUAACAUUGAUCUAUUUAUAACUAGAGUGAGCAAAGCAGUGGUGGUGCACAACUUUAAUCCCACCACUCAGGAGGCAGAGGCAGGUGGAGCUCUGUGAUUUCGAGGCCAGCCUGGUCUACAAUAUGAGUUCCAGGACAGCCAGGGAUACACAGAGAAACCCUGCCUCAAAAA